rnacentral:rRNA from 1 species
CUUACCAAGGCGAUGAUGCAUAGCCCGAGUUGAGAGACUGAUCGGGCCACAUUGGGGACUGAGACACGGGGCCCAAACUCCUACGGGGGGAGGGGCAGCAGUAGGGGGAAUCUUCCACAAUGGACGCAAGUCUGAUGGAGCAACGCCGCGUGAGUGAAGUAAGGUUUUCGGAUACGUAAAGCUCUGUUGUUGGUGAAGAAGGAUAGAGGUAGUAACUGGUCCUUUAUUUGACGGUAAUCAACCAGAAAGUCACGGCUAACUACGUGCCAGCAGCCGCGGUAAU